rnacentral:lncRNA from 1 species
CGGAGAGAGAGGUGUCCGGGGAGCUCCCCAGGGUAGGACAGAAAAGGGGAAGAGGUGGGGACCCCAGAGCAAGAGCUGCUGUGGGCUCCCUGCCCCCCAUGACGGGGAGGCGGUUAAACUACCUGGCCAGGCCAUCUGCCCGGAGGCAGCUUCUCCGGCUCCAGCCCCGUCCUGCCCCAGAAGGAUCUCCAUGCCACUUGGGUGAGUGGAACAACUCAGCUGGCAGGCAGGGCCAGCCCCAGCCAGGCUGGGAGAGCUGGCACCCUGCAGCCCCUGGUCAGCCUCAGGCACAGCCCACACGUAACCGGCUCCUACCAGUGGGCCGCCUUGCCCCUCCCCCACAGAGGCGGAAGGGGUCAGCAGGUGUCUGCCAGCCAAAGCCGCUGGCUGCCUCCAGCGCCCCGGGGAAAGGGAGGGCCUCUGACAGCCUGCACCAACUUUUCUUAAUUGCACAUGGUUCAGGUCAAGCCCUUCUCCCUGGGAAGCAGCUGAGUCAGAGCCUGCAGCCUCCUUAUCCCUUCAUCUCCUGUCCCACCUGCCGGUGACUUCUUCCCAGGGCUCUCUCUCCUCCACACUGAGGCUGAGUGCCUGAAGCAGGGCUCCUGUUCCCUCAGGAUUGCAGAGGCGGUGGGAGACACCUAGAGCCCAGGCUGUUGCUUUUCUGAAAGGCUGCACCCUCUCCUUUUGUUCCCCCAGUCCUCCUGCUUCUCCUUCAGUGCUUCUCAUCGCCCAACAGAUACCGACUGAUUAAUGUCUGGGUUCAAAUCCUGGCUCUGCUGUUAACUUCAGGCAAGUUGCUUGAUCUCUCAGGGCCUUAGGGUCCUCCUGUGAAACGGGAUUACCCCUCACAAGGAUGUUGGAAGAAUUAAAACACAUAAUGCAAGUCAGCAAGGCUCUCAAUGAAUGUUGGCAGUAUUGCUGCCCUUACUCUUGCUUGGCCCAGGUGCUCCCUCCCUCGCAUGCCCCUGCCCCCAGUGCUGGGAGGGGCAGAGGACGGAUAAGUGCUCUGACCCAGGGGCCCCAGGAGCACAGAUGGGGCCUGUCCCAUCUGGGGCACUGGAAAAGUCCCCUUCCAGAAGGUCAGGCUUAUAAAGGAAGGAGAGAGGUGGGGGGAAGGGGACUAGGAGGCAGGAGAUCACGGUUCCAUUGGAGAAGGGCAAGGAGUUAGCUUGGUUUGGCUGGUGGGUGGGGAGAGGUCCAACAAGCAGGACCUCCUGAGCCAAGCUGAGGAGCUUGGAAUUAAUCCUGAAGGGCCUUUGAAAAAUACAAGCGGAGGGACACAGUCUGAUUUGCUGUUUGAUUUACUUUCCGGCAGUAGCGUGAGGACUAGAUUAGCCGGGAAAGAGAACGAAGACUAGGAAACCAGCUAGAAGGCGACGGUAGGAUCCAGGCAGGAGGUGCUGAAGCCAAAGUAAGGAAGGGCAGUGGUAUAGGGAGGGGCUCAGAGAUGUUGGGAGGAGGGAAGGCAGGCCCCAGUGCGAGAUGCACUCAGGUGCAUGAGGGACAGGCAGAGGAAGGAAGAAGGCUGGCCUAGCCCUCAGGCAAUGCAGCAUGGGGGCAGGUUUAGGGGAAGAGGUCUGGUCACUUUUGGACACUGCCUGAGGUGCCACGGGCCAACUGGGGGGGCGAUGCCAGGUAGGUAGGUGGACAUGCCUGUCUGGACUCUGCAGACAGGUCUGGGCAGGAGCAGAAGAGGGGUUGUCUUCCUUGUGGGUGGCAUCGGAGGCGUGAGUUUGCAAGAGGUCCCUGAGGGAAAGCGGGCAGAAUGACAAGGCUGUGGAAUACUGGGAGCACUCACGUUCCAGGGCUGGGGGAGGAGAUGAGUAGCCGGGGGGGGGGGGGGGGGGGAGGACAGCCACAGGAAAGAGUGUCCUGCCUGCCAAAGGAGAUGCUGUGGAUAGGGCUGGGUGCUGGCCUAGAUGGAGGAAGAUCAGGCCGGAAAGGUGUCCGUUCAAUUCGGCAGCAGGGAGGUCCCCGGAGACCCUAACCAGAGCAAUAUGUGCAGGAUGGAGGUGGGGGGAAGUGCAGGGGCAGCGGAAGACCCAGCUUGUCCCCAGAGUCUUGGCCCUGAAGGGAAGCGGAGACCUUGGCAGCCAGGGGCGAGUGGGUGGGGUCUCUCUGGUGCACACUGAGAGAGACAUAAGCACAUCUAUAGGGAAAAGCUAGUGGAGAAGGAGUGGUUGAAUAUACCAGAAGGGGGAUGGUAAUGAAUGAGUGACAGCCCCCAAGAGGGGAGGAGACAUCAGGAGAAGCAGUGCAGGGUACUGAAGAGUCCUACUAAAAUAGCCGCCAUCUACAUUGUGUCUCCUAUGUGCCAGGCACCGGUCUAAGUGCUUUAUAGAUGCUAACCUGCUCAGUCCACACAACAGCCCUAGGAGGUAGGUGCUGUUAUUAUGCACAUUUUACAGAGGGAGGAUAUAGACAGAGAAAGGUUAAGUGGUGUGCUCAAGGUUAUAAAGCUACCAUGUGAUGCUGCCGGUAUGCUGGGAGUUGAACCCAGGCAGGGUGCCCCCAGAGAUGUGUAAUGGCCCAGAGCAUGGAUUCUGGAGCCAGACAGCCGGGUUUGUAUCCCAGCUUCUCCGUUUACUUGCUUUCCCCUCUGUCCCUCAGUUUCCCCACCAGGAAGAUAAGUAUGAGAAUUAUACCUAAUUCGUAGUGCUGCUGGGUGGAUUAUAUGUGUAAAUGCCCGGAAAACGCUCAGAGAAGGGCUUGGGACAGGGAAGGCGCAGGUGGAGGGACUCACCUGUGACAGGAUUGGGUGCCUCUUCCACUGGGAGCAGCGGGAAGAAGCCAGCACAGGGCUGAUGGAGGGCUUCUCGUAAAGUGUUUGCCUGCAUGGAAUGAGAAACAGGUGAAGGAAGAGGUGCUAGAAUUAAUUAGAAGAGGAAUGUGGGUAGAGCCCCCCCUCGCCCCUUUGCUCCAUAACAUGCACCCUCAGAUGUCCUCAGGGAUCACUUGCCUCACCCCUUCUGGGACAGCAUUUGCUCUGUGGGCUGAUGGGCAGAUCCCUGGUUACAUGCACAUGCGACCUAGAAGAUAAGAGUUGGGGUUGUGUGCACCUGGGGAUGGGAAGCCCGGCCUCUGGGCCAGCGGAGGAUUUGCUUCCGAAGACCUUUGCUCUGAGGGCUCCUUGAAAUCAAACCCACUUGACUUGGCUGCAUGAUUUCCCCAGUUACGGGAGGAGUUUGUUCCGGGGAUAGUGUGGGUUCUGGGCAGGACUGGCUUCAGGAGCAUGGACCUGGGGGGUCAUACCAAGCCCCAGAUUUGAAAGGGAUGGUUUAAUGCUUUGCUGUUGUCAUCUUGAAAUUCUUAAUGAUUUUGAGCAAGGGGUCCUACAUUUUCAUUUUGCACGGGCCCUGCUAAUUAUGUGGCCUGUCCUGGUUCUCGGCCCUGGGGUGCUUGCGGUCUCCCUGUCCAUAAUGAACCUGGGAGGGCCCGCAUCUGCACGUGACAGAAGCUGAGAGCUUCAUGGCCAGGCCAGAGGGGCUGGGGAAGGCAGCCUGUGUCUCUGUCCCUCCAGAGGCCUGGGGUAGGGGUGAGAUUUGUGGUAUUGGGUAAAGCACGCUGGUCAGACAACUGGGUUUGUAUCCUCACUCUGCCACCAGGCAGCUGUGUGCUCUUAAGCAGGUAAUGGACAUCUCUGAGCCUGUUUCCUCAUCUGUAGAAUGGGGAUAGGGUGACCACAUCACAGUACGAGGGUUAAAUUAGCUAAUGUAUGGAAAGUACUUGGUUCAUAGCUGGUGCUUAGCUGAUGUCUGCUGGUAAGUGUGUGGUUGGGGUAGAAGGGCAGUUGGAUUGAGGGUAACAUGCUCCCGCUCUAGCCGACUGUGGGAGAAGAGGCAUUGAGGCCCCCCUCUGCCAUCCUUGGAACCAUCUUCCAGGAAAUGGGUGGUCAGCUCUUCCUUCAAAGUGGCCCCCAUAGGGAGAACAGAUCCCAGCUCUGGUCCAGCGGUCAGAAUUUUAGGCUGCCAGGACAAGUUCCGGGGCCCUGAGGGACCCUGCUCCACCCUCCCCGCACCUUUGCACAGCCUAGUUUCCCGAGACCUUUUCCACUGGGACGCAGACCUUCCUCUGCACAUGGUGUCUAGGCUAGCCCAGCUUUCCCUGUAUAAUAGCAGUGAGCCUUCUUUCCACAGGCCCUCCCCCUCCUGGGGACAGAGCCAUGGCCUGAGGUCACAUGCCGCCUCCUUUUCAACCCCCUUUUGUCCCCACCCCUUUUCUGAUCCUUGACUUACCCUGAGCUGGAUUAAGACCUUUAAGCAGCCCAGAGAGCUGAGAGGUUGAGGUGUACCUCCCCCCACUCAUCUCCAUGCAAACUCAAAAUAAAGACCACUCUAAACCUUAAAAUUAGUGUGAGGAAGUCCAACAAAGUUCUGAUUUUUCCCAGGGUGACUACUUCCUUGCUAUUUUUGAAAUACUAGGAAUCAGCCCUUUAAAAAAACCAAACGAAAACCAGGACACUGUUGAUGCCCUUUUACUGCCAGUGCCCUAAGCACACGCUUAAUCUGUCUGUUGGGCAACCUGGCCUCGCCUGCCCCCUCCCCUGUGCCAGAGCCGGACAGAGGACUGGCCUGCAAUACAGGGCAUUGGGUCACUCUGCCCAGAGACUUCCCCAGGGGAGAGGGAAGCCCAGGGCCAAUCAGCCCCUGUUGGGGAGGUGACAUCAGGAAAGCCCAGAAGGUUCCACUUCCGCCCCUGCCACGGGUUGGGGGGGUGGGGUGCACCCUCUCCUCCCCACUAGAGAGCAGCCAGAGCCAGCCCGGGCCCCCUUCCAGUCCUCCAGCUGGCCAAGGACGGCUGGGCUGGGCUGUGUUAGUCCCUAGGCCCGUUGCCCUGCACUCCACACCUGUCAGGCAGGUCUCCCUGCCCUGAGCCACUCCUCGUCCUCCCUGUGGGGGAGGGAGCCAGCGAGUGCUGGGACUUCUGCAGACUGGCUUUUCCGGAUCCUGCCUGUAAACUCUGGUUACAAAUGAACCCCACAUGUCUGACGAGGAGGGUGCAGUGGUAGGAGGUAGAGAAGGUGAGGCAGGAGUCGAUGCACAAGCAGCAAGUCCAGUCCUCCUCAAGCACAAUCAGGGAGCGCCCCAGAGAAAGAGGAUCCCGAGCAUCCUAGAAAAUUCUAAGUGGGAGGGGCCUUUUAGAGCACUCCAUUCUGCAGAGAGAAAACAGGCCUAGAUAGAAAGAGAAGAUGGGGCGCCUGGGUGGCGCAGUCGGUUAAGCGUCCGACUUCAGCCAGGUCACGAUCUCGCGGUCCGUGGGUCCGAGCCCCGCGUCAGGCUCUGGGCUGACGGCUCGGAGCCUGGAGCCUGUUUCCGAUUCUGUGUCUCCCACUCUCUCUGCCCCUCCCCCAUUCAUGCUCUGUCUCUCUGUGUCCCCCAAAAAAUAAAUAAACGUUGAAAAAAAAAUUUUUUAAAAAGAAAGAGAAGAGCAGGUGGUUUCCACAAGGUGAGCAGCAGACACAUGGCAGGUCGAACAAAGCCCUCUUGGCCUUGUCUCAGUCCUCCGUUCUCCCUGAGUGAGGCAAGAGGACAGUCCUCUACCCCUGUCUGCUCCUCCCCCAGCGUCCCCUGCCUGCUACCCUGCCUGCCUUCUUGCUCAGCUGUCCUCCACCCAAUCAGCACCCUGGGCCUAUCCAUUGUCCCCUUUCCCCUCACCAGGGGAACACUCAUUUAUUUGUUGAGUGUCUGGCCCAUACAAAGCCAUGUGUUCUUCUGCAUAACAAACCAAAGCCACAGGUUAGAUGUUUUCUGCAGGCAAUUUCACAUUCCAGGGGAGAGAAGGGAAGGAAUGAGUAGAUUUGGGGCACUGUACAGGUGCAGGGCAUUUCCCCUACAUGACUGUGACCUUGGGAGUACCUCCAUCCCAGUGAUGAGCCCUGGAGUCACAGUUUCAAAACACUGGGCUCAAGGUUUCAAAGCAGCCAUGCUCCGGCUGGAGCCUGCCUCCAGACCUAUGCCCUUGCUUCUGCAGUGCACAACCUUACAACCCAGCCUGAAGGCUGCAGCCUGCAGUGAGCAGUCUGCACGAUCUCAUUUCAUCCUUACAGCGCCCCUGACAGAGCCACUGCUAUCCCGCCUUUUUACAGGGGAAGCAACUGAGGCCCAGGGACACCCAACUAGAAACGAUCGGAGCUGGAAUUUGAACCCAGGGCUUCAUGCUGUAGGUCCACGUGCUUGAUCACGGUGCGGUCUGAGUCCUGCCGCACACGUCCAGCCCCUUGUCCUGUGGCCUGCGGUCUUGGGCUGUGUGUUUCAAGCCAGGUGUCUGGAGUCUCCCUGGGGAGGGCAGGGGCUGCGGGUCCUCGUUCUGAAGCUGGUGUUGGCAGACCGCCACUCUGGUAAAGCUUGGCAAGGAGGAGUUGCCGAUAUGGGCUAAGAGUGCAGCUUGACAUGUGUGUCUUUUGCUCUCUUGCCCUUUUUGGGGGUUCUAGCUUUGUCCCCAUUGUUCUGGGGGGGAUUGAUUAGGCUGUGUUUCCUUCCUCACCAAGUGCUUGCCCAGAAAAGGCCCUAAAAUACACAGAUGGGGUGCUUGGAAAGAAGUCUUUCAGGCUUUGGGGUUAGAUAGAAGGGGGUUCAGAUUUCUUCUGUACUAGUGAUCUUGGAGAAGUCACUCCGAGAGUCAAGUUUCUGUUCUGUGAGGUAGAAAGAAUGGUGCUUCCUUCAAAGCAGGAUACAGGGAGUCAAGUGAGAUACCAGAUGAUGGUGAACUAUGAGGUCCUCUCUAAUUGUUGAUUGCGAUGCACUGAUGCUAUUAUCUUCCUAAAGGAAAGAGUCAGUUUGGGGGUUAGUGCAGGUGGCUGGUUGGGAGAGUGACAAGUGGAAGGCUGGGAAGCUGUUGGUAAUGUGGAUUGUGCCCCAGAGCCCUGAGACUCCUGAGCUACAGGGGGAAGGCGACAGGUGGGGGCUGUCCCCUGUGCCCUGGCGUAUCAAGAACCUCACUUUGCCUGGGUUGCUGGGGGAGGGACAGGUGUUCACACUGCUCAGGGGUGGAAUGCACCAAUUGACCCUCCAGAGCGCAGGGCCCCAGGGCCUGUUGCCAGAUAGGAGCGGCCACAUUCCCUUCCGAGCUGAUUCUACCCCCAAGAGUCCCCUCCCCCCAAAGAGGGGCUCUCUGACGUGUCUGGAAAGCUGCCUGGGUACGCAUGUCAGGGAUUCUUGUUUCUAAUGAGCCUGGUAGCUGUGGGGCGAUUGGAGGAUAGAAGGAAACUGCCUGAAUGGAGCCAGGGGUCCAUGGCUAGAGGAGGAGGGCCCUCCUGCUCCCGGCUGAUGCACUCUUCCUAGAUUAUGUAACCAUCUCCCUCAGCCCCCUGCAGGGUAUGUACACAUGAUAACUUGGAAGAGAUACCCAUCUGGUUGAGGCAGGUCAUCAAAACUGGGAACAGUCCCUGCCAAACAGGAACAUCCUGCCCCCCUCAGCUGCGCAGAUGCUUGGGUUAUUUGGGAGGAAUGAGAGAUAUAAUCACAUUCUCAGUCAGGAAGCACGGCCUGUCCAUGCUUUAUGGGGUCUUCUAGUCAAUCAUGAUUUCUUCAGCAUUUGGAAUGUGGUCAUAAAUAAGCCAAAGUCCUUGUUGAUGUGCUCAGCUUAAUGAGGAAGAGUUCCACAAACACACGGCUUGGUAAUGGAGGGACCUCGGUUUUAGGUUGGGCACUUUGGCUUGGGUUUUGACAGGUGAGUAGGAGCUCAUGAGCAGCGAGAGGGAAAUUCCAGGUCUUCCUUGUCCACCAUUUAAGAUAAGAAACCACCCUUCGUGGAAUAUAUGAGUGCUGGGAGGUGCUCUAAGUCUGUAGGAAAGCAUGACUCAGGAAUGAAGCCAUUCCGGGUCUGAUGGUGAAUCCCUGAUACUGGAAUUUUGGCCUCCCCCCCCCCGCCCCCCAUCAGGCCUCUAGCCCUUCCCUGGGCUCAGCCGGAAGAAGAUUUGGCCAAACUAAAUUUUUCUCUCUGAGGGAGCCAUCCAGCGCCUGGGUAGCUGGGAGCACAGAGGUCAAGGGAGGACCUUUUAGUGGUGCUGCAGAGAGUGAGCACACAGAUGAGAGGCUUUCCACCCCACCCUGACCGCACCUCCUGCCUGGGACGCCCUCUUAACCUGCUCUUGCCUGGUCCUGAAACAGCCCAGCCUGGGCCCUGACCUGCCAUUCUAGAUCUCUCACUUGGCUCAGUGGUUCAGAACCUAAACUCCUGCAUGACUAUCUUCAGGCAUUCCCGAGGUCCUGAGCUUGCCCAAACCACCUGAUUGAUUCUGGAGCCCUCUUAGGGACUCUCAGGUAAGUCCUCAUGAAUCCCAAAAGUCACAGUCCCAGACCUAAGCUCCAUGCCCACAGGCAGUCACCCACUCGAACAUGGCAGAGCCAGGGUUCAUCAUUUCCAGGACCAGAUGGACCAGCCGCAGGGCGGAGCACGUGGAACAUUUGUGACCACAGCGCCUCAUCACCUAAGCAGUAGGGAGUACAAAGUGGGUUUGGUCUCAGCUGAAUUUCUUUCAACGAAUGAAAGGUCUAUCAUGUCUUACCUCUUCUCUCUCUCUCUCUCUCUCUCCCUAUUUGUUUGUUUGUUUUAAGCAGGCUCUAUGCCCAACGUGGGGCUUGAACUCACGACCCCAAGAUCAAAGGCGUGCUCGACUCACUGAGCCAGCCAGGUGCCCCUGGAUCUUACCGACUUUCAAGUUAGAGUUUCCCCAUGUGGCGAGUAAGAGUGGAGCUUCAUUGGGACGCCUGGGUGGCUCCGUCGGUUAAGCGUCUGACUUCAGCUCGGGUCAUGAUCUCACGGUUUGUGGGUUCGAGCCCCGCGUCAGGCUCUGUGCUGAUAGCUCGGAGCCUGGAGUCUGCUUCGGAUUGUGUGUCUCCUCUCUCUCUGCCCCUCCCAUGUUUGUGCUCUGUCUCCCUCUGUCUCUCAAAAAUAAAUGUAAAUUAAAAAAAAAAAAAAAAAGUGGGGUUUCAAAGGGAAAGUCAAGACACCAAGGGGGAUUUGCUCACAGCUCCUUUAUUUCACAGAUACCUAUGGACCACCUACUUACCUGCCAAUUUUUACUCGAGACACAGGGGAUUCAGGAGGAAACAGAACAAAGGUCCUGUCCUCAGGAAGCUUAUAUCACUCUGGUGGGGCAGACCGACAACAAAGAAAUACACCAUGUCAAAAUACGUCAGGUGGUGGUAAGUGCUAAGAAGAUGAAUAGGGUAAGUAGGGGAUAGUGAUUGACAGGUUGGGGAAGAGUGUUGUCAUUUAUCCCGGUGGUUCUAGAAGGCCCUGCAGGUGAGGUGACAUCAAAGAAGAGACUUGAUGUAGACACGAGGCAAGAAUGUUCCAGACUGCUAGACAGUAUCAUCAUAAUCACACUCUACUGAACACACCGCUUUAACCUGCCUGCCGCUAGCCCCCACAGCCAGGCAGUGACUCUUAGAAAGAAAGCAUGACAUUUGCUCGUGGGGGGUCUUCGGUUCAGAACGUGGUCCGUACCAUGUUGUUUGCAUGUGUCUGUCUCCCCCUCUAGAAAGUCUUUUGUAAUACUGAGCCGCCAGUCCAGGCAUAGCCCUUGGAACAGAGGAGAACGUUUGUGAACCGACCGCCUGGCGCACAGAGAUGCAUGAACAGAGGCCAGGAGCUGGGUGUGUGGCACAGGCCGAGGGCAGAAGCACAUCCUAGGAAGGAGGCAGGAGUGAUCUCUAAUUUCAGUUGCGGCAGUUGAUUUGGUGGCUUUGUGUUGGUCUUCUACAGAAAAAUAAUCGCAAACAUCUGUAUCAUGUCAGCUGCUGUCCUAAGCACUUUGCGUAUAUUAAUGCAUUUCAUGCUCAUAAAAGCUCCAUGUGACAGGUAGUAAUAUCACACCCAUUUUACAGGCCAAGGUUCUGAAGCAAGUGGUUUAGCUAAGGUCACACGGCUAAUGCUUGGGAGAGCCAGGAUGUAAACCCAAGAGCCCCUGUUCUUAUCCUUACCCCAUAGAUAUAUACUCCAUAUCCUUACCCCCUAGACUGGUCCCCUCGAUCUUUCACUGGGGUGUUUGUGCCCUGUGUUUCUCGGAAAAGCCAAAGCGUUUUUGAGACUCAACUUCCAGGAAGGUCAAUGUAAGGCAAAGAUUUCAGAAAAAAAUGAAAUUUUAAUUAUAAGUCAUUUAAGACAUUUUUUAAUGCAGCCAUAUGUUAUAGCGAAUAACCCAAAAAGCCAGGUGAAUUUUUAAGAUAAAAAAGGAGGCGUCCAAGCCCUGUUGGUGGGUUGCAGGGUUUCUAUCCCCAGGUCCCCUCCCCUGACUCCCAGCCCAGGGUGGCAGACUUCCCUUAUCCCAGCACGUGUGUGUGUGUGUGUGUGUGUGUGUGUGUGUGUGUAAGAGAGAGAGAGAACGAGCGAGCGCGGGCGUCCCCAGUCACUGUGACGUCUGGAUAGAAGUGAGUCAUGAACAUGUCAGGCUGGGCUACAGUAUGAAGUGUCGCUUUCUGAUUUUUCUUCUUCAGGCCUGCGCCAGGGGUGGGGCGGGGGGGGGGGCAGGCAGGGAAGGGGCUGGGCCUUGACUCUCCAUGGAAGCUUGCCCAGGGCUCCAGAGUUUCUGGUCUGUGCUUGUGGGACAGUGUCGCACAAGGCUCAUCCUACUUAACACCACCAGGCAGUAAUGCAGGAGGCAGGAGGGACCUCUCAUCCUCUGUACCUUAAAAUACCCCCGCCCAGGCCCAGCAUCCAGUUUGCAGAGCACAUCCUUAGGUGUUGCCUCCCACAGAGUGAGAGGCGUGUUCUGUGACCUGUGUUUUCUGUAUGUCCGUGUAUGUCAAGCCCAGGAACCAGUGUCCUCACUGCCGUGUGCCCCAGAAUGGGUCUCCCUGCGGAGGCAAUGCCCAUGGGUGUUUUAAAGGCAGAGCAAGAUGAAUGUAGGCUGACACUUCCCCCCUCUAUUGACAAGGAACUGACAGGCCUCGCAGAGGACAGACCUGGUAAUUAAUGUGCCAGCAUCUUCAUUGACAAGGCAAAAAAGCAAAUACACAAGCUGAGGGGAGUUAGUCAUGCCGACGGGGGGGGGGGGGGGGGGGGGGGGGGGGGGGAGGGGGGGGGGGGGGGGGGGGGGGGGGGGGGCGGGGGGGGGGGGNGGGGAUGGCGGUGGGGACAGGGAAAGGGCAGGGAGGUGUGGGGUGUGUCUGGGGGAUGGGAAGGGCUCAGGCAGGGCGAGCUGGGAGCGAGCAGAGCGAGAGAACAGAAUUGUCUGUGCAUCUGGGAGGAAAUGUAUGUGUGAGAGAAAGAAAACGUGAGAGAAUGUGUCUGAGACCAAAUGUAGGGGUGGGUGAGGAGAAAUGUGCGUGUGACUGACAGAAGGAGGGAGGGAGGCGGGCGGGGUGCGGGCAGCGGGCCUCUCUCAUCCCUCCUUCAGCCACAAGGGCUUCUGGAAAGCCCUGCAGUUUGGAGUGAGGGAUGUGCGGGAGAGGUGAGAUUUCAUUACCUUUCCCUUUGUGUGAUAUUUUCGUGUUAGAAAUGUAAGACGGGAACUAUAAAUAAUCCAGUCACAGCUGCGGCAUCCUGGAGAUUUAUGGUGCGUGCCAAUGCCGGCCAGCUUCGGGCGGGGGGUGGCUUUGCUUUACGGAGCCAAGAUAAAAGGCUGCCCCUCCUGCACUUGGCCCUCCCGGCCCUGGCCGGCCCCCCCCCCCCCCCCCCGCCCCCUCCUUGCACAAGCCAUCCCUCCUGAGCUGCAGACCCCAGGGGAGAGAGAGGCUCACAAGUGCCUAGAAACCCCUUGUCCUGGGCAGCCUGGAGCCAAGUACCAAGUGGGCGAACAGGGGAUGUCGGGAAGACCAGUGAGGCAGGGGCCAGUGUGGGCAAAGGUGCAGGCCUGCCGUGGGAGGCCCCCCUUUGCUCAGCUGCCACAGACAAGGGGGGACCAACAGGUGGCCCAGCCACAGCCAGGCUCAAGUCUGAGGUCCCUGGAGCACGGGCCAAUGGCCCUCUGUUCCUGGCCUCCUUUCUGGGCAGGGGUCUUGUUCCGUGCACCAUCAGCAGUACGACCAAGCUGUGCUUGGUGCAAGACCCUGGUGGGGGCGGAUGGCCACCCCCACCCCCCUGCCCCGCCGCUUCCCAGGAGAGGGUGCACUCCCUGUUGGCCUGAGAAGGGGUCGUCCUCCAAGAACUUGGGAGCUGCUGGCCAGUCCAGUGACACCCCAGGGAAGAGACAGACAGUGUAUUUGGGACAGUGAGAGGGCAGGAAGGGGGCAGCCUGGGCUCCCCACGUCACCUCCCAGGAUCUCUCUCCAGCCUUGUUGUGAGGACAGGGGGAAGAGGUGCAGGAAGACAUUUGAGAGCCAGCCACAGGCUUGUCCUUGGGACUCAUGGGACUGAAGGAAGAGGAAGGUCAGGGGUCUCAGGGAGAGGAGCUGGUUCAAGACCCCCCUGUGACAUGCCUGGGCUUCCCUGCAGUGUCUCACGAGUACACUUGUGUGGCUGUGUCCCACGAGCCCUAGGCUUCCCGAGGGCAAGAGACACGGACGCACGGCUCUUACGGAAGCCUGGUGGCUACAUGCGCCCUGGCCCCGGGCUUGAUGCAUCAGUUAGUUCUGCAGAAUGGUGGGACCCUGGUGCUGACAUGUGCGUGUAUGGACCCCACAGAAUGGAGCCCUGGAGGGAGUGUGUGGAGUGGGGGAGCAGAGCCACCUGGAUCUCUGAACCCCACUCGGUCCCCUCCUGUUAGUCCUCGGGCUGUCCCUGGAGCUGAGGGUCUCUGUGCCAGCCUGCCCCCGGCCCCUCCUGCCUUCUCUGGAAACCCCGGGGCUGGUGCAGCCCAGGAACUGCAGGCACCAGCCUGUCACCUCGAUGGUUCUCGCUUUGCUUCCCUUCUGAUUCUCUGAGCAAAUAUUGAACAUCCAGAGACACAUCCGAAUCCUCGGCGUGGGGUGGGAGGUGGAGGCGGUGACACAACUGGCUACUUCUUGGGGCAGCUCAGUCAAGAUCAACCUCAGCUCCAGGCCUCUGGCCGAGGGAGGCUGCUGAGGGGGUGGGGGCAUUAGUCCAGUGGACAGAGAGGGGCCCUUCCCUCAGAGGAUUCCUUCAGGGCAACUGGUGCGUGACUGUGGAUUUCCAAAGCAGCCACACAUGGGUUGUGGCAGGGUCUUUUCCUGGGGCAGUGCGGUCUAUUUUCUGCCAGCCUCCUAAAGCAAACCAUGUCUGGGAGUGGGGCACACGCGGUAGAAUGAAAUCCCCUGGGGUGUCCCAGAGGCAGCUCAGCCAUAAGCACGAAUGGCCUCAAAGCAAGCUUGCCGAAUUUCGUGAAUGGCAGAGCCGUGAUAUUCGGAAGGGGAACCGGGAUCCUCUGAGGAUGUGUCCCCGCUUGAUGCAUUCCGGAUGCACCUGUCGGGGGUCACCACUCUAUGCAUCAUCACGCUGUUCUGGGUGGUUGUGCCAGCCAGGGUGCUGACUGUAAGAGGCAGAAAUGGACUCUGACAUUCUCAAGCAGAGAAAAGAUUUGCUGGAAGGAUUGGGGGCUGCUCACAGCAUCAGUGGGAAGGCUGGAGUCCCAGCUUGGAAGGUGAGCAGGAUCCAAGAGAUGCUAGGCAGUCAGCGUCGUUGCCAAGGUCACGCCACAGGGCAGCCUGCUUAGGAUGCCUUUGCUGUUACCACCCCUCUGCCAUCAAUGGUGUGAUGACAGGUAAUUUUGUGUGUCAACUUGACUGGACCAUGAGAUGCCCAGAUAUUUGGUCAAAUAUUAUUCUGGGUGUCUCUGGAUAAGAUUAACAUUUGAAUCCUUAGGCUGAGUAAAGCAGAUUGCCCUCUCCAAUGCUAGUGGGCUUAAAUAGAACAAAAACGUGGAAGAAGGGAGAAUGUUCUCUCUGCCUAUUGAGCAGGGAAGUCAGUCUUCUCCUGCCCUUGGACUGGGAUUUACCCCAUCGGUUCUCCUGGUCCUCCAGGUCUUUGGAUUCAGACUCUUGUCCCAUGAAUACUCCUCAGGAAGGGAAAUUCCUACCCCAUCCCCCCAAAUACGGAAGGAACACUCUGGAUGGCCUUCUCAGUCUGCCCCUCCAGAGUUCCAUCCUUCUAUCUUUUCCCCCAACUCCGAAGUCCAGGAGGCUAACCUGUGUGGGCCUCAUCCCAUUUCGCCCAGAGGCCGAAAUCCCAUGCCUCUGGCUUCCAGGGUCUCCCACUGGAGGAGACUAGGAAGGUGGGCGGAGAGAGGUUGGGGUAUUUUUCCCCUUGUUUCUUUCCUUUGCAGCUCUGACUCUCUUCAGCUUCCAGCCAUCUCCCUCCCUGUCACAUCAAGGUCUGCAGAAUUCCUUCUGGUUUCUUUUAGCACUGCCCGCCCUAGGCAAAUAGUGCCUUUUGAAAGACUCCUCAAUUGCCCUAGUUGAGGGUAAUGCCUCUUACCUGCUGGCACCUCACAUGGGACAGGAAGUCUGGAGAUUGGGAGGCAACAGAGCCCCAGCAAAUGCCCACAACGUGGUGGUCCAGAUGCCGAGGGGAGGCAGGGUGCAUGGUACAGGGCAAGAGCAUGGACUUUGGAGACAGACUUACUAGGGUCUGAAUUCUCAGCCUGACUCUUAGUAGCUCUGUGAACUUGGUCAAGUUCUUAACCAGGCUGACCCUUCUUUGUUCUUCACCUGGGAAAUAAAAGUUCAUAUGGAUGUCAUAGAUUUAUUGUGAGAAUUGAAUGAGACAAAUUUUUAAGCACUCAGGACACCAGUGAUGGCAAGAAGGGUCUACCUUAACGUGUCAGCUCCAACUGAUCAGUUAGGGCUCCUGGGAGCCCUGGGUGAAGAAUUCUGACAUCUCAUCCUGGCCUGGGGAUGAUGGGUGCACUCAUGAUUGAUUAGUGAUGUCUGUCAUGGUGUAGCUUGGGAAGUGGCAGUAGGAUGCACUUGCCUUUUCUGUAGUAAACACCCACUGAGUGAUAGCUAUCAAGUUUUAUAUUUCUUUGCUUCUUGGGAGGGGAAGUCGGAUUCCUAUGUGACCACCAGUGCUGCCCAGGUCCUGAGGCAUCGAGCUACCUCUCUUGGCACAUCUCAGAUUCCUCAGUAGUGCCGAUGCUCCGACCUGCCCUUUCCUUUGAUCAGCAAACUGCUUCAGCCCUAUCUGGGUUGUUUAAGGUCUUCUUUUUCUGGGAACGUUCUCUUGCUCUUUUCAGUCCCCAAAUGCCCAGCCUGAUUCUCCCCUCCGUGUCUACCACCCUCUCUCCAUAGAAAAUAAUAGGGAAUUAUAUACAUUUAACUUGAAUUUCUCUGCCUCAUGUCACCUCACUUUCCAAAUCUCCCCCAUUAUCUCCUGCCCCAACCCAGGGGGCCUGGCAUUAUCCCAGGCACACACACCAGAGGAGGUUGAAGACAGAAGAGGUGAAGAGAAUCAUGGCCACAGGUGUCCUACUGUGUGAACUGGAGACUUAGUGAUCAUCAGGUGGCUCUUGGAGUAGCAAAAAAGGUAGAGGAAGCAAGGAUUCUUUUUCAGAAGUGAUCUCCUUUCUAGUUUCACUGGCGCAUAGGAGCAAUUUUUAAUUAUUCAAGAACACUUUGUUCAGCACCUACUAUGUGCCAGGGAGGAAUGCAUCAAACAGACAUGUUCUUUGCCCUGAUGGGGAAACAGACAAGUAUAACACUGGGUGCUGGACAGUCCAGUAAAUGCUAGACAGGAGCACAGGAAGGACCUCCAAUUGCAAGGAUGAUUUGGGACAAUCAGGGAAGACUUUCUGGAGGAGGUGGCUUCUAAGCUGAGUCUGGAAGGAUAAGGAAGGUGUUUCAGGUGGUCUUGGGAGCAGCAUCUGCAAAGAUCCAAAGGUGUGUGUCCAAAGAGCUACUGGCUCCUGGCGCGUCACUGUGGCUGGCUCUCAGAGCUGGAAGUGGAAAGUGCUGGACAGGAAGUGGUAGGAGGAGGGUGGUAGAGUCCUAUGGGGCCUUGAAAAGGAGUCCAGAUUUCCCCAAAGCAGCACCCAUCCCACCCACCUCACCCCCAGCCUGUCCUCUGCCCGCUGAGGCUUGAGGUUUGUGAAGCCUCCCUCCCAUCGCUCCCCCCAUCCCUCCCCAUCCUGGGAGGGCUUCUCAGGCCUCAGGGAGCAGCCUCUGUCCCCUCACCCCAAUGCCUUGUGAGUCACUAGGAGUGUAGUGACAGCUGCUUAAUGUGAGGAGUGGCUGGGCAGGUGGCCCACAGUGGCUGCAUGAGGAUGAACCAAAGUAGGGGUUAAGGGGAGCCCCCAACCUGGGGGAUGAAGGUUUUAAUGCAGUCUUGCUAAUAACUGGCUGACCCAGCCAUCAGCUGCAAUUUAGGGUAAAGCAGGCUUUCAAGCAUUUUUUUCUCCAAUGACUAAGUCGGUUUGCAAUUAUUUCCUCCUCUUGUAAAACCCCUCACACCUUUUCCCCAGCCACUUCCCCUGCUCAGACCUGCUUCUCUUUGGAAAAUGCGAAAUGGUGCAUAUGUGAAGCUGUGUAGAAAUGCGUGUAGCUUUAUGUGUGUCUGUGGAUGAAAGCAUCUCAGGGGCGUCUGGGUGGAUCUGUCGGUUGAGUGUCCGACUUCGGCUCAGGUCACGAUUGCACAGUUCAUGGGUUCAAGCCCCACGUCAGGCUAUGUGCUGAUAGCUUGGAACCUGGAGACUGCUUUGGAUUCUGGGUCUCCCUCCCUCACUUCCCCUCCCCUGCUGGUGCUGUGUCUCUCUCUCAAAAAUAAACAUAAAAAAAAAAAAGAAAGAAAGAAAAGAAAGUAUCUCAUACAUGUGUAAGGAAGUGUAUAAAUGGGAGUGUGUGUGUGUGUGUGUACUUGCCUGAAAACGUCUCUGCUGGUGCCAUGCAUGGCAGCACGUGUAUGCCUCUGUGCAUGUGGGGGAACGUGAAUGCACGCAUGUGCACUUAUGUCCAGGACAGGCUGUGGGUGUGUAUGAGUGUGGGGGACCUAAGGUGUGUGUGGGUUUGCAGUGAGUGUGAAUGGGAUUCUAUGCAUGGGAUUCUAUGCAACGGGCCCCCAUGAUCCUCUGCAAGGGAGACACUGUUAGGCUGGCAUAUUUAUAUUAACCCAAACCAUAAAAUGCCCAACUGGUCUCCCUGCUUCCCCUCUCGCUCUUUCCUUUGUAGGCUGUCCUCCACCUAGCAGCCAGUGCAAGCUUUUAAAAAUGCGAAUCAUUUCUAGCCUGACAACCUUCCGGUGGCCUCCCGCCGCAUCUGGAAUAAAUCCAAACUUCCGACUAUGGCCUGCCUCCAUUCCAAUCUUUGAAACUUCGUGGCCUCGUCUCCCAGUCCUCUGGCACCCUCUGCCUCAGCCACAUAGGCCAGAGCCUUUGCACUUGACCUGCCUUCUCCUGGACCCCUUUGCAGUGGGGUGCUGUCUUGGCUCCAGAUUUCCGCUCGACAUGGUGACAUUAUCGGUGGCACCUUUCCUGACUUCUCCAUUUAACUUGGUACCUCCAGGGGUUCCUGGCUGGCUCAGUUGGAA